rnacentral:lncRNA from 1 species
CGGGACGUGAGGACAAGCACGCCGCCCACCCCGAGGACCGCGCGGCACUUCCCGGGCGCCCCGCCCGCUGCGUAAUCUGCCCGAGCGCGUGGCUGCGCCUUUCCUGCUGAGUCACGGUCCCGAGGUCUGUUUUCGCUGAGUCACGGUCCCGAGGUUCUCCAGCUGCAGCCCUGGAAAUGAAACUGAUAGAAGACAAAUCAACAAGAGAAAAAGAAACAGAUUUAUUAACACGCAGUACGCACACACGGGAGAAACUCAGUGAUGAGCAACUCAAAGGAGUGGCUGGAACUGGGGCUCACACAGCGUCUCCCCGAAGAAAGAAAUUUGAAGAGAAG